UACGAAGGGGGCUAGCGUUGCUCGGAAUGACUGGGCGUAAAGGGCGCGUAGGCGGUUUGUACAGUCAGGUGUGAAAUUCCCGGGCUCAACCUGGGGGCUGCACUUGAUACGUAUGGACUGGAGUGGGGAAGAGGGUCGUGGAAUUCCCAGUGUAGGAGGUGAAAUUCGUAGAUAUUAGGAAAGAACACCAGUGGCGAAGGCGGCUCACGUGGUCCGGUACUGACGCUGAGGUGCGAAAGCGUGGGGAGCAACAGG
rnacentral:rRNA from 1 species